rnacentral:rRNA from 1 species
AACGAACGCUGGCGGCAUGCCUAACACAUGCAAGUCGAACGAGACCUUCGGGUCUAGUGGCGCACGGGUGCGUAACGCGUGGGAACCUGCCCUUAGGUUCGGAAUAACUCCUCGAAAGGGGUGCUAAUACCGGAUAAUUUCUUCGGACCAAAGAUUUAUCGCCUUUGGAUGGGCCCGCGUUGGCUUAGCUAGUUGGUAGGGUAAAAGCCUACCAAGGCGACGAUCCAUAGCUGGUCUGAGAGGAUGAUCAGCCACACUGGGACUGAGACACGGCCCAGACUAUUACGGGAGGCAGCAGUGGGGAAUAUUGGAAAAUGGGCGAAAGCCUGAUCCAGCAAUGCCGCGUGAGUGAUGAAGGCCUUAGGGUUGUAAAGCUCUUUUACCCGGGAUGAUAAUGACAGUACCGGGAGAAUAAGCACCGGCUAACUCCGUG